rnacentral:misc_RNA from 1 species
CUGCCGCCGCUGCGCGAUCCAUCGGCGGGAAAAUUCUGGAAGUUGGCGUCGGCACCGGCCUGUCGUUCGAUGACUACGACAGCAGCACCGAGAUCACCGGUAUCGAUAUGAGCGCGCCCAUGCUUGAGAAGGCACGCGCGAAGAUGGCGAGCGGCAAGUAUCCGUUCGUCAAGGCGGUCCACCAGAUGGACGCUCAUCACAUGACGUUCGAUGAUGCGACGUUCGACUGCGUUGUGGCGCAGUUC